ACCAACCGAUGAGUCCCAAAUAGGCGAAACGCGCGUCCUGGAU
rnacentral:hammerhead_ribozyme from 1 species